rnacentral:lncRNA from 1 species
AGCUUCCCCAUCCAGAGCUGCUCCUCCUGUCAAAUUUUCAGCCCCAAAUUCGAAGUAUAAGUAGGCGAAACGUUAUUUCUCCUCUCGGCAGCCUUUAGAAAGGUAUGUUUUGAAACCUUAAACUCUUCCAAGUUCAAUAACUUGGGGAGGAUAAAAUCCUUUCCUCCCUUCUCCAUCUCCAUUCUAUGUUUGGGAUUUUGUGUGUGCAGGUACCAAAAAUCCCGGAAUUUUAUUCGCGGGUCAAGAGUAUGUUGGAUCACUCUUGUUUCUUUGUCCGGGUUGUGUUUGAUCAACCCCGACCUUUCACCAGAUUGUGUUUGAUCAAUCCGAGGCCUUUUUCCGAAUUGUGUUUGAUCAAUUCGCGGCUUUUCCGGAUUGUGUAUGAUCAAUCCGAAGGACAAACCAUUAAAAGCAUCGUUUGUGACCUCUAUCGAGUCUCAUAACAGCUUGGUUUUGUAUGCAAGAGCAAUGUAACAUUCUGCUCCUUUGAGUUUUGACGUACUAGAUGCCUAAGGCGGAUCUUCGCUUGGUAUCUGUGGAACCUUUCAUUGGAAAGGAUUAAACCACAUGUUUUGACCCCCAGGCUAACAAGCUUAGAUGCCGAGAUUUCACAUCUCAUGCGCUCAAAGUUUUUGAAGCGCCACAUCGACAAAAGCCUUCAAUGGCAACCUGUGCAAAAAGUAAUGACCACAAAGNNN